CUAACAUGUUCAAUAUAAAUAUCAAUGUAACUUAAUUUCAUAAAACUUAAUAUAAAUACAAAUCUUAUGGAAAAUACACAUACACAUUAUUUUUUCUCAUUGCAGUCAUCAGUGACACUUGCCGAAUUAUCAUCUCGGCACAACUGUAGCCUACUGACCAGGAAACUGAUGGCGUUGCUGCUUCCAAGUACAAGGGUUCUCAUCUCUCUACUAGCUUCGUCAAGGAGAUCUUAUACCCAAGCAUAAGAAAGGCCCAGGCGACACGAGGAAAAGCCAACUGGAAGCAAAUUAUCCAAACUAACCUACUGAAAUGGUGAGGAUUUCUUAUUUCAUCUUCUUCUAAGUUAACAGGAUUCAUAUAGACAUGUGAAUUAAAAACAGAACACCAUAGGUAUCCUUUGUUUGCAUGUGUAUCAGCCUCUGAAGGAAUAAUUAAUUUCCUUUUUUGGGAUACGUCUCUUGGAAGACAUGUCUUGGGAGAUAUGUCUUUUGGGAUAUGAGGUGGAGAUCUUUGAAAUUUAUUUUGUUGGUCAAGGAAUGAAGAAGCAGCAGACAACGCAUGGAUAUUCUAGUUAAUGAAGUGCAGUGUCUUUAAAUUCACUGGCUCCUUAUCUUUUUAUCAUCCACUUUAUUUUUUUUCCUCUUUACAUUAUUUCCCAAGGUAAUUUUUGUUUAAAUGUGGUGAGUAAACCCAAAAGUUACAAGAAAAUCUUUAAGUGUCAUAAAUUUUACAGGGAUACAAGGGAAACCCAUUUAUACAUCUCUCCCUUCUCUAUGCCUCUGAGAUAGAGUCAUAGCUAGAUAAUAAAUGAUAUAUCUGAUCGCAGUAAACAUUUGAAAAAUAACAUGCCACUAUCUAUUAGAUUUUAGC
rnacentral:lncRNA from 1 species